GCCGGGCGUGGUGGUGCACACCUGUAAUCCCAGCUACUCCGGAGGCUGAGGCAGGAGAAUCGCUUGAACUCGGGAGGCGGAGGCUGCAGUGAGCCAAGAUCGUGCCACUGCGCUCCAGCCUGGGCGACAGAGCGAGACUCUGCCUCGA
rnacentral:SRP_RNA from 1 species